CGUUCCUCAUCUCUGGGAAGCACGCAGGCAGGGUAGUGGACCAGAAAGGGCAGACUCUUAGCCUCUGGGGUGUCCAGGGGCUGGGGUUCUUGGGUAAGAGAACACCCCAAAAGCAUGUCCAUAGGAGAGCAGCACGUGUGCAGGGGUGCAGAGUAGCGUCAGGAUCUGGAGCGCUCUGCCCAAUUUCCUUCUCCAAGAGUCAUCUCGAUGUGUACGUCCACUGCCUGGUCUCCACUGUCAGCCAUUCUCAUCUUUCUUUAGAUUCUGUUUGAACUCCUCUGAAGACUCACACUGAGGACCUUCCCUAGUGGAGUUUCUGCAGUUAUUCUGACCACUUGGUUCCGGAUGUUCCCAGCCACUCUGUCCUGAGGGACUCUGCCCUGUCUCCAGCAGCCUCUGCUCUCCUACCUCUGUCACCUGCCAUGUGGCGUCACAGUAAGGUCACCUUGGCUGCCCUCGGGGGGUCAGGGCUUCUGAGUGAAGAGCUGCCGGGCUGUUCUCCUGGAGAAGGCCACGUGGGGAUGAGAUUACUUGGUCACAGACCCUCGGGAGACCCCAGCUGGGUCUGAGUCAUGCACAGAGCAGCUCCUCCACACAAUCACCAGCACAGGAUGAGGGGACAAGCCUGUCUGUGCAUCCCAGAGGAAUUUAUGGGAGAAUCCGGUCUUCUCAGAUACUGAAGAGAUUUAUCCUCGCAACUUCCAGUGUUAUUGCUAAAAAUACAAUUUCUGAGCUUUUGUGUUAAAAGUCAAAAAAUGUCACACUAGUCGUUAAGAGAAUGCCUGUGUCUUAAUACUUGGUAUGAAGGGUUUUAGUGUUAAGAGUUUUAGUGCCUGAUCUGUUCGUAUCUAAUUCUGAUUUCAGAAAAUUCAUUGAACUCUCUGAGGCCUCAGUUAUCUUUAUUUGCAAAAUGCCAAUGUGAGAGGGGACUUUUUGUCAAAUCCUUUCUGGUUCAACAGUUUUGUGAUUUUUGUCUCAAGAAGAUAUGAGUUGUUCUGCAUGUCUAGCCUAGCACCUAAAAGUCGGAAGAACAAGGUCGGGGGUAAAUGCACCCCAGGUCUACAGCCACACUGUGUAGGAGGAAGCAAAUUUAGAAGGAAACAAGCUUCAUUUAUUCUGCCUGAUAUGGUUAUCUCUGAGGCUGGUGCCCAUGCGAGUGAGAUGAGGGUACAGAGGAAGGGAGGGAACACACUGUCAAAUGUCAAAUGUGUAGCAAAGACUGUGCUUGACAAUUGAGACUUCCGGUGACUUUUGUCUUUACUUUUGCAAAACGGGAGUUAAAAGAAAACAGGAGAGAGACACAGAGACAGAAAAAGAGAGGGAGAGGGAGAGAAAGGGUAAGAGGAAGGGAAAGAAGGAGAAGGAGAACAGAAAAUGCAACUGUAAGAUCGUCAAUAUGUAGGUUUCAUGUAAAAAUUGGGCAAAUGAUAUCUAAAUCACGUACAAGAAAUCUAGGACUCUCCACUUUGGCCGACUUUAAGAAAAUCCUUAGUUAUAUCUUUAAGUGAAUGCUGGAUUUCAGGCUAUCCUGUGACCAUCAUGCUUAUCUGUAUUCUUGGAAGAAACACAGAUGAGGGCUGGGGAUUUAGCUCAGCUGUUUAAGCACUUGCUUGGUAAGUGCAAGGUCAUGAGUUCAAUCCCUGGUACCAGAAGAGAGAGAGACAGAGAGAGAGAGAGAGAGAGAGAGAGAGAGAGAGAGAGAGACAGAGAGAGAGAGAGAGAGAGAGAGAGAGAGAGAGAGAGAGGAAGAAAAAAGAAAUACAGAUGACCCAGGAGAACUGAGCCAACAGGGAAGAGGGCAUGGCCAGAGCUUCUGUUCUCAAAGGCCAGACACUUUUGGGGGGAAAAUCAGGCGUGGCCAUGAACUAGUGAGCAAUGACAGUGAAUGUAACAGCACGACUGAGGCAGGGCAGAGGUGUGUAAAGGUAAAAUGCGAGCAGAGAGAACACACACCUGUGAGUUCUGAUGGUGAGAGAAGACUGGUGGCUGCAGUGGGAAUCAAUGUUUGGAGGUGCUGUCUGCAUGUGCACAGAAAGAGAUGCAUUGUGGAGAAGAAAUCAUGAAAAAUAUUCACAUUUCAUUGUGUUGACAACAACCACCUCCUCUUCAUGUGUAGCUGACAGAGUACAUAAAAUUCUCCGUUCUGUGCCCCAUGUCUCUCCAUGGCAACCAGAAGAUACCACAAAUUCUUAUGCACAUGACUGCUGCUCGUUGAGGGCAGGGAAUUGUGGCGAUGGCGAAUUGAUGCUGAAUGGAGGCUCUUCAUCUGGUCCACGAAGCCUGCAUACACUGGCGACCAUUGGCAGAUGAUCAGGUCAACUGUGUAGGCUUCCUGUGUGAAUACAGUGCUGGGUGUGUCCCGGCCAUUUUGAGACCAUUGUUUCUGAAAUAUUUUAAUGUUUUAAAUAUUGUCAGUGGGCUUUUCUACACAGAAUGCAAAUUCUGAGGACAAGACUGCAGUCACAGAAGAGCAAGCACCUAGGGAGGGCGUCUGGGAACCAACAGGCUUGGACAAACGCUGGGCUUGCAGAUGAAAGUGAGUUAGAGCUGAGGAACUGAAGGAUUUCCAAAAAGCAGGGCCUCAUCUGAGGCUGACAAAGGACCGCUAACUAUGCUUGUUCAUUAUGCCUCCAUUUAAGGAAAUGGUGACCCUCCCAGACUGCAUGAUGGAGAAAAGUGCCCAUCACCAUUUCCCCUGGAAAUCACCUCAGAGUGAGUGCCAGGCGUGAGUGCCAGGCUAUUCCAGCAUCUCCACCCACUGGUGACACCUCCCUGCUGGGGAGGCUAGAGGUGAAGCACGGGCUGGGAGGGAGAAACGAGGGCCAUGGCUGACUUCUAAACCCCAUAUGCCUCUGUCAAGUGGACAUUUCUCCUACGUCAGCUCCCACAAGGAUUCCAAAUAGGCAGGAAAAGCACCAGUAACAAAACGCUGAAAAAGGGGUUUUCCAGUGUGCUGUGCUUUCGGGAUACCUUAUGUCAUGUGGAAAUACUUCAGUCGCCCAGAUUCUUCUCCAGAAGGUAAGAACGGAAACCUAAAGAACUGAUAUACUCCAGUGUUGUCCAAGGUACCUACAGACUGGACAUAGUGUUGGCGACUCUGAUCGUCCCAUCACUCUUUCUAUCCUAAACCCCAUAUGCCUCUGUCAAGUGGACAUUUCUCCUACGUCAGCUCCCACAAGGAUUCCAAAUAGGCGGGAAAAGCACCAGUAACAAAACGCUGAAAAAGGGGUUUUCCAGUGUGCUGUGCUUUCGGGAUACCUUAUGUCAUGUGGAAAUACUUCAGUCGCCCAGAUUCUUCUCCAGAAGGUGAGGAACCUGGAGAAGAGAAGAACAUGCCCACAAGUCUAUUUGGAAUCAUGUCAGGCCACAGAAUAACUGUUUGAUUUGGACUCCAGCAGUGGGUCCCUUCCAGGAGAGCUGGACAUUAGGGUUCUAUCUUGGAUGUGGGCUCUCAAAGUGGAGUUGACUCUCCCACUGAGUAGAUGAGCCUACAAGGCUUAAUGUAUGCCACCAAUGGCUCCUGUCUCUUGCAUGUGUGAUGAUAAUCAGCAUCUUGUUGCCUUGGAGACUGUCAGACUUGGUAUCUCUGUUUAUCUGAAGAACAUUUGGUGGUUUCUGAAAACAGAUUCUGCAGAAACACAAAUGAUGCAUGAGUUCACCCCAGCUGGUGAAACAAGAGAUGAACACCUGGGAAGCAGUGCUUUUCUCCAAGUGUCAACCCUAAGUUGGCAUAAGAUGACCCAACAGACCAGUAGCAGGAGCUAUGGGGUUUCAUCAAGCAAGACUGGCAACUUCAGUGAUAAACCUGGAAAUCCUCUGCGGAGGGCAACCCUUCGUGUUGUCAAUUAUGGGAAUUCGACAUCCCCAUCAUGCCUUUUGCUGUAAAAGAAAAUGGCAUAGAUCAUUGCUCCAAGGCCAAGCAUCAAAAAGAAAACUCCUGCAGGAGAAUCAACCAAAAGUUUCACAAAAAGGUUUAGCAGAGCAACUCACAAGCUUGUAUAAAAUAAAAUGUGUGACCACACCAUUUAUUAUCUCUGCCAGUAAAUAUUUUCUUGUGUGAUUCAAGCCUUUUCUGCAUAACACUGAGUCUGCACGCUUUGUUUUCUUUAAGCAGAAUCAAAGAAGAUACCAGCCACAAAGCUUCACCCUGUUUUCAAAGGUGCCAUUGAAAUGUUACACUUCUUAAUUGUGGCGAGAAGGAGAAGACACACCCCGAGGGAGCCAGUGCUCCACCCUCACAGGGAAACCAAAUACAUCAUGUACAUAACAAGAAAAUUGAGUCUUAACCUUUAAACUCAUCUUUGGGGUAAGCAAAACUAAACCAUUACAAAGCUGAGAAGCUGGCUUAUUUUUCUACUUUUUUCUCCUUUUUAUUUUUUUCCAGAAGACACCUGAGAAUUUAAGCUGCACACAAACAGUGUUUCCCAGGGCUUCCUCUUGGCCCGUGUUCAGUACCUCGGGUCCACAUACUUUCUCUAUCAAAGCUUCAUCAGGACCCUUUCGGUGGCCCCUGUGUUACUGUGGUUCCACAAUUCUCCAGUGAUGGCCAUUUAUCUUGUUGAGACAUCUGAGUCCCUGAGCAUCAACUGUGACUUUCAUUUUGGGUCUCUGCUUUCUGUGUAAAAAAAGAGAUUCUAAAGACACAGCUUUAUGUGGACAGGAGUGAUUUUUGUUGGCAAGGUUUCAUGCAGAAUGGCAGGGGAAAAAAAAGAAAAAAACCUAGUUGCUGGCAAAAACUGUAGUAACAUUGUGCCAUCCAAAAGCUGUGCAUGUUGCCGCUAUGUGAAUGGAUGCCUUGCUAGGAGAAAGACAGGCUGCAUUUUUACAACUUCCCGGAAAGGUGAUUCACAAAUAGGAAAAUGGGCUCUGCUUUUACAUUGACACUUUUGCCUCAACUCUCCAGCCUUUGGAGCAUAAGCUGAAUUCUGGGUGUUCAGGCCAAGUGAACAAUAUGCAGAUAGUAUCUUGCACACAGAGGUUGCUGAUUGCCUCCCUGCCCCUUCACUCUCAUGUCUGCUGAAUACUUCCAGUGUAAUGGAUGGGUGAUCACGGAAACUGUCUCCUUCAAAAUGAACAUUAAAUUGAUGGA